rnacentral:lncRNA from 1 species
UGUCUCAUUAGAUUAACCCAAUAAAUUUUAUUCACUCCGCAUACUCAAUCCUAUAGACACCCUUUUAAUUCUUCAUCACAGACGUAACUUGAUUUCACAAAAACAGUCAAGAAUAAUCAAACCCACUUCAUUAAAAAUCCCGAUUCACCAUUACAACACUGACUUCAGCAACGAUUGCCUCAGUCUUCCCAAAAUCCUAUGAAGAAGAAAAAAAAAAA